CACACCCAGAACACGAUGCUCUCCCUGCCUCCCUGCCUAUCUUUAUCUAAGUUUCAUCUCAUCAGCAGGCAGCUGUCACCAGUCUGUACAUGACAAUCUAAAAGCUGCAGAGGCAGGCUCUGAGAUUCGGAACAACUCCUGGGCCAUGGCAGGCAGACGUCCAUGUGCACAGAAGACUCCAACUCCACUCCCAUGCUCUUUGUCUAUGAAGCCUGCUCUUUCCCUGUUGAGAAAGCAUUUUCUAUAUGGGACCUUGGAUUUUCUAGAAGGCAUUGGACCUCAAACAAGAGAACAGGUUCUGUCACACACAGUGGAACACCAUCACCUUUACUCAUUGUGGUAAACAGAGAGAGGAAUAUUGACAAGGACUCUAAUCUGGAUGCCCCC
rnacentral:lncRNA from 1 species